GUGGCGAACGGGUGAGUAACACGUGGGCAAUCUGCCCUUCACUCUGGGACAAGCCCUGGAAACGGGGUCUAAUACCGGAUAACACUCUGUCCCGCAUGGGACGGGGUUGAAAGCUCCGGCGGUGAAGGAUGAGCCCGCGGCCUAUCAGCUUGUUGGUGGGGUAAUGGCCUACCAAGGCGACGACGGGUAGCCGGCCUGAGAGGGCGACCGGCCACACUGGGACUGAGACACGGCCCAGACUCCUACGGGAGGCAGCAGUGGGGAAUAUUGCACAAUGGGCGAAAGCCUGAUGCAGCGACGCCGCGUGAGGGAUGACGGCCUUCGGGUUGUAAACCUCUUUCAGCAGGGAAGAAGCGAAAGUGACGGUACCUGCAGAAGAAGCGCCGGCUAACUACGUGCCAGCAGCCGCGGUAAUACGUAGGGCGCAAGCGUUGUCCGGAAUUAUUGGGCGUAAAGAGCUCGUAGGCGGCUUGUCACGUCGGAUGUGAAAGCCCGGGGCUUAACCCCGGGUCUGCAUUCGAUACGGGCUAGCUAGAGUGUGGUAGGGGAGAUCGGAAUUCCUGGUGUAGCGGUGAAAUGCGCAGAUAUCAGGAGGAACACCGGUGGCGAAGGCGGAUCUCUGGGCCAUUACUGACGCUGAG
rnacentral:rRNA from 1 species